rnacentral:tRNA from 1 species
GGGGCCGUCGUCUAGCAUGGCUAGGAUACCAGCCUGGGGCGCUGGCGGUCCUGGGUUCAAAUCCCAGCGGCCCCA